rnacentral:tRNA from 1 species
GGGGAUGUAGCUUAGUUGGUAAAGUGCUUGCUUAGCAUGCAGGAAACCUUGGGGUUAAUGCCCCGUCCCUG